GAUCCUGCUCAGGACGAACGCUGGCGGCGUGCCUAACACAUGCAAGUCGAGCGGGGAAUAUUGAGCGGCUUGCUGCUUGGUAUUUCUAGCGGCGGACGGGUGAGUAACGCGUGAGCAACCUACCUUUAUCAGGGGGAUAACGCAUCGAAAGAUGUGCUAAUACCGCGUAAGACCACAGCUUCACAUGGAGCAGGGGUCAAAGGAGCAAUCCGGAUAAAGAUGGGCUCGCGUCCG
rnacentral:rRNA from 1 species